UGCGUAGGCGGCGCGGAAAGUAGGGUGUGAAAUCCCUCGGCUCAACCGAGGAAUUGCGCCCUAAACUACCGUGCUCGAGGGAGAUAGAGGUGAGCGGAACUUAGGGUGGAGCGGUGAAAUGCGUUGAUAUCCUAAGGAACACCGGUGGCGAAAGCGGCUCACUGGAUCUCUUCUGACGCUGAGGCACGAAAGCUAGGGUAGCGAACG
rnacentral:rRNA from 1 species